GAAAUCGAAUGAGAUUCCCGGAGUAGUGGCGAACGAAAGGGGAACAGCCUAAACCUGAUUGGCUCAGUGGACUUGGGUCCUAUGUCAUUCAGGGGUUGUAAGACGCAAGAGACAGAGCUCAAGGUCUGUCGCAGAGUUAGAAAAAACUUCUACCUAGCGGAAGGUCUCUGGAAAGAGCAACCAUAGAGGGUGAUAGUCCCGUAGGUAAAAGGUUGAAGUCUCUGCUUGUGUUCUUAAGUACCACGGGACACGUGAAAUCCCGUGGGAAUCUGGGGUGACCACGCUCCAAGGCUAAAUACUGCUGAUGACCGAUAGUGAACCAGUACCGUGAGGGAAAGGUGAAAAGCACCCCGGGAGGGGAGUGAAAUAGAAUCUGAAACCCUAUGCUUACAAGCAGUCAGAGGUCCGAUUUAUCGGACUGAUGGCGUGCCUAUUGAAGAAUGAGCCGACGAGUUGAUCUAUGUGGCUAGGUUAAGCAACUUAGUUGCGGAGCCGAAGCGAAAGCGAGUCUGAAUAGGGCGAGGCUCAGUUUACUGAGCAGGUCGCAUGGAUCAGACCCGAAACCGGGUGAUCUACCCAUGGUCAGAGUGAAGCUCAAGUAAAAUUGAGUGGAGGCUCGAACUUUUGAAUCAGGCAAAAUUCUAGGAUGAACUGUGGGUAGUGCAGGUGAAAUGCCAAACGAACUCGGAAAUAGCUGGUUCUCCCCGAAAUGCAUUUAGGUGCAGCCUCAGGAGAUAAUUUACGGAGGUAGAGCUCUGGAUGAGCCAGGGGCCGUGAGGUUACCGAACUCAACCAAACUGCGAAUGCCGUAGAUAUAAUCCUGGGAGUGAGACUGUGGGGGCUAAGCUCCAUAGUCGAGAGGGAAACAGCCCAGACCAUCAGCUAAGGUCCCUAAACGCAGGCUAAGUGGGAAAGGAAGUUGUAUUGCAGAAACAGCCAGGAGGUUGGCUCAGAAGCAGCCAUCCUUUAAAGAGUGCGUAACAGCUCACUGGUCGAGUAGUACUGCGCCGAUAAUUUAACGGGGCUCAAGUCUGCUACCGAAGCUAUGGUCGAGCACUCAAUUUAUUGAAUGCUCGAGGUAGGGGAGCGUUGUCAUGGCUGCGAAGCUAUGGUGUAAGCCAUUGUGGAGCAAUGACAAGUGAGAAUGUCGGUAUGAGUAGCGUAAAGGCAUGUGAAAAUCAUGCCCACCGUAAACCUAAGGUUUCCUACGCAACGUUUAUCGGCGUAGGGUUAGUCAGGCCUAAGCUGAACCCUAAUGGGGUAAGCGAUGGACAGUAGGUUAAUAUUCCUACACCGCGUAGCUUUUGUUUUAACGCAAAGGGGGGACACAGUAAGGUAGGUUGAGCAUGCCUAUUGGACAUGGUGUGUUUCCAACUCAAGGUGCAUCAGGGCAGGCAAAUCCACCCUGAUAUUAAGCUGAGGGGAGGGAGAAUUUGAGG
rnacentral:rRNA from 1 species